UAAAGUAAUCCAACAUUUUUUAGUUGUGUUAGUAGACAACAAUAUAUCGAAACAUAUAUCAAACAAACUUAUUUCGAAUCAAAUUACAGUUUAUCUGCCAAAUCAUACACAAAACACCUACUAAUUUCAGAGUAAUCUUACUACUCUGGUAAAAUAUCUAGAGUGUUAUGAAGUAACCUCAAGUGCUACACAUUUUGCCCCAAAUUUAUCAAUCGAAAAUGAAAAUUGCGCUAAAAGUGCUUUAAGAGAGCAUCUCGAUUGAAAAAAAUGAUCCCAGACUUUAUAAGAAAGGGUCAGCUCUAGUAUAGUAAAGAGCGAAAGUAUGGGUUUUGAAUUCCUUUCAACUGAUUAAGUAAUUAACGGCCAUUCUUCUACACUCAAGAUUUAUGUACUUCACAGUGUAAGUGGCAAGCAAGGCAUCACCAGCGGAAAGCAAUAAUAAAUCUGAACGCAAUCCAAAUUAUCUAAACGAUUGAUGAAGCAAUAAAAAUAACAACAACACACAGCGCCCGUGACGAACGCGACUUGCUAAUAAAUAUGGAAAUGGGGGCUACGUGUUUUCAUGGAAAAUAAUGUAGUGACUUGCAAUACAAACAUAAAUCAUUUAUCAAUACAUUUUCAAUUAAAAUAAAAAAAAAA